rnacentral:rRNA from 1 species
ACUCCUACCGGAGGCGAGGCAGUGGGGAAUAUUGGGCAACAAUUGGGCGCAAGGCCUGACUGCAGCCAUGCCGCGUGUGUGAAGAAGGCCUUCGGGUUGUAAAGCACUUUCAGUCGUGAGGAAGGUAGUGUAGUUAAUAGCUGCAUUAUUUGACGUUAGCGACAGAAGAAGCACCGGCUAACUCCGUGCCAGCAGCCGCGGUAAUACGGAGGGUGCGAGCGUUAAUCGGAAUUACUGGGCGUAAAGCGCAUGCAGGUGGUUUGUUAAGUCAGAUGUGAAAGCCCGGGGCUCAACCUCGGAAUUGCAUUUGAAACUGGCAGACUAGAGUACUGUAGAGGGGGGUAGAAUUUCAGGUGUAGCGGUGAAAUGCGUAGAGAUCUGAAGGAAUACCGGUGGCGAAGGCGGCCCCCUGGACAGAUACUGACACUCAGAUGCGAAAGCGUGGGAGCAAACAGGAUUAGAUACCCUGGUAGG